rnacentral:rRNA from 1 species
CCUACGGGAGGCAGCAGUAGGGAAUCUUCCACAAUGGACGAAAGUCUGAUGGAGCAACGCCGCGUGGGUGAAGAAGGGUUUCGGCUCGUAAAGCUCUGUUGGUAGUGAAGAAAGAUAGAGGUAGUAACUGGCCUUUAUUUGACGGUAAUUACUUAGAAAGUCACGGCUAACUACGUGCCAGCAGCCGCGGUAAUACGUAGGUGGCAAGCGUUGUCCGGAUUUAUUGGGCGUAAAGGGAAUGCAGGCGGUUCAAUAAGUCUGAUGUGAAAGCCUUCGGCUCAACCGGAGAAUUGCAUCAGAAACUGGUGGACUUGAGUGCAGAAGAGGAGAGUGGAACUCCAUGUGUAGCGGUGGAAUGCGUAGAUAUAUGGAAGAACACCAGUGGCGAAGGCGGCUCUCUGGUCUGCAACUGACGCUGAGGCUCGAAAGCAUGGGUAGCGAACAGGAUUAGAUACCCCGGUAGUC